GUCUUUGUUUAAGCUAGAGUAGCAGUGGAAAAGUUCACUCUAUUCUUGGGAAGACAUAAAACUUCACUUGCUACGCUCCAUAAAGUAUCCAGAAUAAUUCUAUGCAUAGCCAUUAAAGAACUCUAUAAAAGGCACUGAAAAGCACCACACAGCUCUCUCUGGUUUGCUAAGGAAUGUCAGUAUUUGUCAAAGCUGGGGGGGGAUUGGUUUGUGAAUAGUGAUUUGUGGAUUCUUGGAAACUCUGUGGCAAUAUUGACAUCUGCGAAGAAGACAGGUUCCUGACUAACCUCAGAGGUGGCCUUUGAUACACUCAGUGUAUACACAAGAGCUUGCUUUCCUCCACUGAACAUUUCAGUGUGAUGGUUUAAAGGGGCUUACAAUGAAUUUUUCUGCUGUCGAAGCUUUGUUCUUUUGUCUUCUGCUAUGUGAUUUUCUUAAACCCAUGUAUGGACAUAAAAUGCUUUGAAAUCACAGAAAAAAAGCCUCUUUUGAAGUCAAAGACGUUGAUGGCUGCAUCUACGGAAAUGGUUCUGAAUACGUAUAGCACAAUACAAGCAAGUUAAGUUUCUUUCACCCCAUCUCGGCAAGGCUAGGACUGCUGGAAAAUCUACAACUGGUUGCAAUUUUAAUUGUGAUUCUUUGCGUCUUAAUUGCCAAAAGAGAGACUUAAUAUAAAACAUGAACACUCUCCAGUUCCAGAAUGUCAACGUAGCAAAUCUUUAGCUACUCCUUCCCAUUUGUCAACAGCAAUGUCACAGUGUUGUAAGCCUGUGUACAUUCUAGUGGACUCAGGCUCUGUAGAUGAGCCUCCAAAAUCCAUAAUCUUUUGGCUGUGCUGUCAUGUUACUCAACAGAGACUAUCCUCUGUGGGAAUUUGAUGGUUUGACAGCAUCUGAUCCCUUAACAUUUGUGAUUCCGAAGUCCCCUGAUCCUGGAUCUCAUGUGGAUGAUAACCUUUAAUGAAAAAGGCCACCACUUACGGGGUGUCUACUGUAUGUUGCAUAUUUACCAAUUUGGUCAGG
rnacentral:lncRNA from 1 species